GACAAUCUGCAUUAACUUUCAGACUCAUUAUCUCAUUAUCAAUAUUAGCUUCUCCUGGUCUUCUGUUGCUCCCCCGCGGAAAUUAUUUGAUGCAACUUCACAGUGGUGUACACAAAAUCCCAUACAUUUGAAUUUGCUGGGAAAUUCACUUGCACCGACUACAAGGUUAAAAAGAGUGUACUGUGGAGAGGUUGCUUUCAAAAGUUCAGCCUGUCAAGUUGAUUAAUUUACAAGCACCCGCAGCAUGACAAGAGUCACAUCAAUCAUUCAUGCACUGUUUUCAUUCAUUUGAUAAUUUAUCUGAAACAAUGUAAAUCACCCACCGUGUUUAGCAAAUUU
rnacentral:sRNA from 1 species